UUACGACCAUAUCGUGUUGAAACACCGGUUCUCAUCCGAUCACCGAAGUUAAGCAACGUUGAACCUAGUUUGUGCCUAAACUGGUGACCGUUCGGAAAUGC